AACGAACGCUGGCGGCAUGCCUAACACAUGCAAGUCGAACGAGACCUUCGGGUCUAGUGGCGCACGGGUGCGUAACGCGUGGGAACCUGCCCUUAGGUUCGGAAUAACUCCCCGAAAGGGGUGCUCAUACCGGUUAAUGUCUUCGGACCAAAGAUUUCUCGCCUUUGGGUGGGCCCGCGUUGGAUUAGCUGGUUGGUAGGGUAAAAGCAUGCCAAGGCGACGAUCCAUAGCUGGUCUGAGAGGAUGAUAAGCCACACUGGGACUGAGACACGGCCCAGACUCCUACGGGAGGCAGCAGUGGGGAAUAUUGGAGAAUGGGCGAAAGCCUGAUCAAGCAAUGCGGGGGGAGUGAUGAAGGCCUUAGGGUUGUAAAGCUCUUUUACCCGGGAUGAUAAUGACAGUACCGGGAGAAUAAGCUCCGGCUAACUCCGUG
rnacentral:rRNA from 1 species